CCUUCUUUAAGUUCCCUUUUGUUAAUAGGGCAGUUGUUGGAGGAUUUGUCUGUGCUUCUCUGACCCAAACUCCGCCUCUCUGUAUUCACACUUGAUGAACCCAGACCAGGAUUCACUGACCCCUCACAAGAGGACAAAGGUCCAAGAAGAGAUCAUUUGGGCUGGCGUGAAGGACUUCAUGAAGGAAGGAAGAAAAGACGAGUUUGGAAG
rnacentral:lncRNA from 1 species